rnacentral:tRNA from 1 species
GCGCUCUUAGCUCAGCUGGAUAGAGCACGUCCCUUCUAAGGAUGUGGUCAUUGGUUCGAAUCCAAUAGGGCGUGCCA